rnacentral:rRNA from 1 species
UCGUGGAGUGAUCUGUCUGCUUAAUUGCGUUUCAGAUAUAUUGAUGAUGGACAACUCAACUAUAUUGCUUAGUUGUAUGGCCUCAUCAUGUGAAAGCAACGAACGUGACCGCAACCCAUUGUUACUAAGCGUGGAUUCGCCUCUUGUAGCUAUGGGGACUGCCAGGGUUUGUCAAACCGGAGGAAGGUUGCGGCAAUAACA